GCCCCUGUGGUGAAAUGGAUAUCACAACAGGCUUCGGACCUGUUGUUCCAGGUUCGAGUCCUGGCAGGGGUA
rnacentral:tRNA from 1 species